rnacentral:rRNA from 1 species
UACGUAGGGAGCAAGCGUUGUCCGGAAUCAUUGGGCGUAAAGCGCGUGUAGGCGGCUUCGUCAGUCCGUUGUGAAAGUCCAGGGCUCAACCCUGGAAUGCCGAUGGAUACUGCGGAGCUAGAGUCCGGAAGAGGCGAGUGGAAUUCCUGGUGUAGCGGUGAAAUGCGCAGAUAUCAGGAGGAACACCAAUGGCGAAGGCAGCUCGCUGGGACGGUACUGACGCUGAGACGCGAAAGCGUGGGGAGCAAACAGG